GCGUUUAAUGUCUUUAGAUCUUAACAUAUUUGUCAACAAACCAUAUUUGGGAACUUCCAGGUGUCAAGCUGGGAUUUGUCUGAGGCUGGAUUUUUACUGCAUGGUUCAAGUAAAGUUUUAUUUUCCAGUUUCAUGGCAGUGUAUAGAGAAAACCCUGCAAAACCGGCCUCUUUCAAAUUGUGCCAUGUCGACUUUAUAUGCCCGAUAUCGUUAGCAUUGAGGCGGCGUUGGUAUGUGACAGAUUGCUUGCUAGUUGGACACAGUAAGCCACCGAACCCAAAACAAAUCACUGUUUCCAUGAUUGCGGGCUCACCAUUUCAUUUGAAAUACAAAUAUAUAUUUUGUACACUUACUAACUCUUGUUUAUUUUGGGUGAAAUUUAACUAUUGAGCACGAGAGGGCAGCACACAAUUUACUUUUACUUUGAGUGGAAAUUUGAAAGACGAAUGAAAAACAGAGCGAUCAGCACGGACUAUUUUUUUAAAAUGAAAAUUAUUCAAAGUCAUCCUCUGUAAUCCUGCUUUUUAAGCCGACGUAAUCGAUCAUUUUAGGGCAUUACAGAUGUAUAUUGUGAGUUGGUUAGCUUGGAUAGGAUUGGUUCAUUUUUUGUACAAUAUAUUUGCGUUAUCCAUUGCUCAUAUGCUGUACCUUGCUCACAAAAAGUUGGGGAUAUUUGGCUUUCGGGUGAAAUUUAUGGAAAAUGUAAAAGGUUCACGCUACAGUGAUGUCACAUCAUGAAAGUAGUUUAAGUAUGCACUGGUGAAUUCCUCAUCAACAAUUCAUUGAAACAGAAGUUAAUGAUGGGUACACCGCAACAAAAAAUAUCAACGUCACAAUAACUCGUCAUGUGCCCUUGAGCAUCAAUUACAGCUUGACAAUGACGCAUCAUGCUGCUUAGAAGUCGACUUAUUGUCUGCUGAGGCAUGGCAUCCCAUUGUUCUUGAAGGGCAGCCCUCAGGUCAUUGAGAUUCUGAUGUGCAGAGGUUCGAGCAUACGGCGACUCAGCUGAUCCGACAGGUUUUCAAUGGAAUUCAGGUCUGGUGAAUGUGCAGGCCACCUGUGUCCAACAGCCUUUCCCUGAUAAUGAGACCUUGAUGAGCUGGAGCCAUUGUUGUCCAUGAAGGUGAAAUUAGGUCCAUGUUGUUCAUGUCGGGGCACAAUCACUGAAUGAACUCUGUAUCCCUAUUGCAACUUGCUUUUGACACUAUAAGCUCAGUAACCACGUCCGUCUGCGAACGUCCUGUUUGAAGCAUCACAAUGGGCAAGGUACUGUUGAUCCGGUGUUAGGCGUCAUUUUGGUCUCAUGAUGUCAAAAUGUGAACAGCGUGAUGAGGACAAGUUUUAGGACAUUCAUUGGAGGAUUCAAGGAUCAAACGCCUGUUGUGAAUUUUGCCGUGAAGCUCCUCGUUAAGCAAUUUGUGCAAAAAGAACCAAAACAUUUAACAGUUGGACAUGUGCUUUUCAAAAGCUUCGAGAAGGUCACAUUAAGUUCAUCUGAAAAGGUUUGAAUGCAUUUUAGGCUUGUCCUGAAAUGUCACCUGAAAGCCAAAUAUCCCUAACUUGUGAGUAGUGUACUUAGUGUUUGAAAGUGUAUUUGUUGAAAGACCCUCAAAAAUGAAGUGCCGUGAAUGCCAUAAAAAUAUGGCUUGUGAAUAUUUAGAUCUGGCAUUUCUAUUUGGCGGAUUUCACCUAUUGCCGGGAUGACCUGGAACGUAACCUUGUGAUGGAAGGCGGGGUUUACUGCAGCAAAACAUGAAAUAUAGUCCAAAUUUGGUACAUUUAAAUAAAACCAAUAAACUCGUUCCAAUGCUACAAGCCUUAAAAGGAAUGCUGGGUUACUGUUGGUUCAGUUGGUUGUUGCCUUUGUGUAUUGUACAAACACGCUAAAGGCAACUUUUUGAACCAGUGUUUCCAGACUUCUCUUGCGGUAAAAAAGAAUGCGUUCUUUGUUGGACACCCUAAUGACUUUCAUUUGGUUCCACUUAUUUGAAUGGUGAUUUGUUAUCUAAGCACUGAAAACUAUCUGCUCCACUGGCAGAUGCCAUUAA